rnacentral:rRNA from 1 species
UGGCGGCAGGCCUAACACAUGCAAGUCGAGCGGCAGCGGAAGGAAGCUUGCUUCCUUGCCGGCGAGCGGCGGACGGGUGAGUAAUGUCUGGGGAUCUGCCCGAUGGAGGGGGAUAACUACUGGAAACGGUAGCUAAUACCGCAUAACGUCGCAAGACCAAAGUGGGGGACCUUCGGGCCUCACACCAUCGGAUGAACCCAGAUGGGAUUAGCUAGUAGGCGGGGUAAAGGCCCACCUAGGCGACGAUCUCUAGCUGGUCUGAGAGGAUGACCAGCCACACUGGAACUGAGACACGGUCCAGACUCCUACGGGAGGCAGCAGUGGGGAAUAUUGCACAAUGGGGGAAACCCUGAUGCAACCAUGCCGCGUGUAUGAAGAAGGCCUUCGGGUUGUAAAGUACUUUCAGCGGGGAGGAAGGCAGUGAACUUAAUACGUUCGCUGAUUGACGUUACCCGCAGAAGAAGCACCGGCUAACUCCGUGCCAGCAGCCGCGGUAAUACGGAGGGUGCAAGCGUUAAUCGGAAUGACUGGGCGUAAAGCGCACGCAGGCGGUUUGUUAAGUCAGAUGUGAAAUCCCCGAGCUUAACUUGGGAACUGCAUUUGGAACUGGCAAGCUAGAGUCUUGUAGAGGGGGGUAGAAUUCCAGGUGUAGCGGUGAAAUGCGUAGAGAUCUGGAGGAAUACCGGUGGGCGAAGGCGGCCCCCGGGACAAAGACUGACGCUCAGGUUGCGAAAGCGUGGGGAGCAACCAGGAUUAAUACCCUGGUUA